rnacentral:rRNA from 1 species
UAGUGAUUAACGCGAAGAACCUUACCUGGGCUAGACAACGGCGGACCGUCCUAGAAAUAGGAUCUUCCCUUCGGGGACUGCCGGUUCAGGUGCUGCAUGGCUGUCGUCAGCUCGUGCCGUGAGGUGUUGGGUUAAGUCCCGCAACGAGCGCAACCCUCGUCCUUAGUUGCCACCAUUCAGUUGGGCACUCUAAGGAGACUGCCGGCGUUAAGCCGGAGGAAGGUGGGGACGACGUCAAGUCAUCAUGGCCCUUAUGUCCAGGGCCACACACGUGCUACAAUGGGCGGUACAAAGGGUCGCAAACCCGCGAGGGGGAGCUAAUCCCAAAAAGCCGCUCUCAGUUCGGAUUGGAGUCUGCAACUCGACUCCAUGAAGUUGGAAUCGCUAGUAAUCGCGGAUCAGCACGCCGCGGUGAAUACGUUCCCGGGCCUUGUCACACCGAAUCGAAUUC